CGGAGGGUGCAAGCGUUGUUCGGAAUUAUUGGGCGUAAAGGGCGUGUAGGCGGCCUCAUAAGUCUGAUGUGAAAGCCCCGGGCUCAACCUGGGAAGUGCAUUGGAAACUGUGAGACUUGAGUACGGGAGAGGGCAGUGGAAUUCCUAGUGUAGGAGUGAAAUCCGUAGAUAUUAGGAGGAACACCGGUGGCGAAGGCGGCUGCCUGGACCGAUACUGACGCUGAGACGCGAAAGCGUGGGGAGCAAACAGGAUUAGAUACCCUGGUAGUCCACGCCGUAAACGAUGAGUACUAGGUGUUGCGGGUAUUGACCCCUGCAGUGCCGCAGCUAACGCAUUAAGUACUCCGCCUGGGAAGUACGGUCGCAAGACUA
rnacentral:rRNA from 1 species